rnacentral:lncRNA from 1 species
GAGUAGUGAUAAGACAAAGUCACCCUCCACACUGUCACCCUCUAUAUUGUCACCCUCCAUGCUGUCGCCCUCCAGGAAGUCACCCUCCACACCAUCACAGGCACAUUCUCUUAAUCUUUUUUGGUGUUGUUUGUUUGUUUGUUUGUUUGUUUUUCAAGACAGGGUUUCUCUGUGUGGCCCUGGCUGUCUUGGAACUUGCUCUGCAAACCAGCGUGACCUUAAACUCAAGAGAUUCUCGGGUCUGCCUCAGCCUCCGGAGUUCUGGGAUUAAAGGUGCUGCACCACCACCACCUGGCACCUUAUAAUCUUUUAAGAACUGGACUCAGGAAAAAGGUAGGUCCUUUGCUGCCAUAUGGGAAAGAAUUUCAGGACAAGCUGGUCCGAAGCAGAGAUUUUGUUUUGUUUUGUUUUGUUUUGUUUUGUUUUGUUUUGUUUUGUUUUGUUUUACCAUGGGAGUUAAGACAGUGAGAGAACUCAGAGGAAGACUAAGACAGACCCAAGUGUGGACAUGGGGUUCUUAGGAGAGAGCUGGAGUUAAGUGUCUUAGGACGCCAUGUUGCCCAUUUUGGUGGGCACUCAAGUUACAUCUCACAGGAAUGCUAAGAAACCUUUUCUUACCUCCUUUUAAACAAAUGUACUUAGAGGAUGCCUGACAAGGUGACAUAGAAUGGGAUUUUUAAUCUGGUACUGUAAAACCAGGAGCCAUUACAAAAGGGAUUAGGAAAUGUCCUCUUACUGUGAAUGGGGUUCCCGUGAGAGUCCUAGGAAACUGUAGGUCAAGAGCUUGACUGCAGAGAAAGGCUUUGCAAAUGGUAAUUGUUCGCGAAUCCUCAACACUCUAGAGACUUCAGGAGACUCUGGAGUGAGGCUUUCUUUCCCUACCCCCACACCCCUAAAUUCCUGUCUUUCUAUUCUUCCUCAAGAGGAAGGCACCAUGCAUGUGCAUGAACUUAGGUACCAGCAAGCAUGGGUUCCUUUCCUGGCAUCUGUAGAAAUAUACUGUGGACCCCAUUACAACACAUGCAGAAGAGUAGAUGAGAGUACCUAGUCUUGUUUGACCACUACCCUAAAGCUGUUACUAUUUCCUUUCUAUUUCAGUUUAUAGUUUAACAGUUUGUAAACUUUAUAUAAGAAAACUUGCAAAUAAAUGAGAACAUUGUAUACCAAAGUUGACCCAAAAUCAGUGCAAACCUUGAGAAGUUAGAGCUGGCAUUAGGAACAGCAGCUGUGAACCUUCACAUUAGAUUUCAUACUUUCAGUAUCGCAUACACUUUAUGCAUGCAACCAUCUCCCAACCCCCCAAAAUCUGUGACAAGCUUAGAACUAGAAAAGCAAUUAAUUUCAUCUCCUCUUUCAUAACUCCUGUCCAUGACCUGCACCCGGUCCUCCCUCGUCCCCUGGUACUAGCCUGGUUGCCCUUUCUUCAUGUCAUGCUGUGACCAACAACUAUUUACAUGUAUGUGCAUAUCAUUGGGUAGAUUCUGCAUAUGAAGAGAAUGUGUAGCUUAGUUCAUUCUGAGGCUGUGUGGCCUUGCUUAAUAUACAUUCUAAAUCCAUCUAUCUAUCUUCUUGUACAUUUUUAACUUUGUUCUUUAGAGUUGUAUGUGUAUAAAUAUGGCAUAUAUAAUAUAUAAUAUAUACUAUUUCAGUUCAAUAUAUAUGUGUGUAUAUAUGUAUAUAUAUAAUAUUGUAUAUGGCAUACAUAGCAUAUAGUACAUAUGGCAUAUAGAUGUAUAACAUAUAUUAGUAUUUCUAUUAUUCAUUCACUUGUUGAAGGAGAACUAAAAAGUUGGUUAAAUUCUUUGCUAAUAGUGACAAAAGCAGCAGCUAACAGGGGCUGAAAAUAUCUCAGUGGUAGGGUGUAAAGUUCUCUGGGUUUUCUCCCAGGAGUGAAAUACUAUUUCUAAUGUUUUAUUUUUUAAGAAACCUCCAGACUGAUUUCACAGUGGCCAUAUUCGUUUUCACCCCACCAACAAUGGGUGAGGCUCUGACUCUAUCCACAUUUCUUGUCAGAUUCCUUGGUGACUGCCAUUCUGACAAGGGUGAGGUGGCACCUCAAUGUAGUAUCAAUUUGCAUUUCCCUGAUGGCUAGGAAUAUUGAACAGUUUUAAAAUGGCUAUUGGCCAUUUGUGUUUGAAAAUUCUCUAUUCAGUUCGUUGCCCAUUUGAUGGUUGGCAGUUUUAUUCACUUGGCAUUUGAUUUCUGAAAUUCUUUGUACUUAAUUUAUAACAAUUACGUGUUAUUUCAAUACACAAUGUAAAAUAGCUGGUUAACAUCUAGCAUUCAGGUUAUGUUGUAUAAGAGCUCCAAGUUCUGGUACAUAUCUCAGUUCCAACAAGCCACACAGCAAGUGCUCAGUGGCCCCCACAGUGACUGGGGCACACAGUAAAGCCAGCACAGCAUCUAGUGAUAGAGUUUUCCUGAACUUGGGGCAUAGAUUGUGCUCCUGAAGCAGGCUUAACGCUCAUCUUCAAUAAUUAAAUUAUAAUAAUAAUUAAAAUUGUCAUACUGGGGGCUGAAGAGAUGGUUCUGCCAUGAAGAGCCCUGGCUGCUCUUGCAGAAGACCCAGUUUUGAUACCCAGAACCCAUUAGGCAGCUCACAACCAUUUGUAGCUCCAACUCUAGGGGAUAUCUUUUGGAAAGAGAGACAGAGACAUAAGUGAUUCCCCAGGUCCACCUUCCAGGUCACAAAGCAAAAUUUAAAUAUAGAGAGUGAGGUUUAAGUCCAUAAAGAGAGCUAUUGAUACAUGCACUCAAACUGUCCAGGUCAAGGUGUGGUCAUGUCCACUCCUGUCCCACCAUGUCUGGCUUCCAGUCUCCCCAGCAAAGUGGUCUGAUAGCUGUUAGCACUGAGUGACAUCUCCUGGGAGACCAGUUCCCUCUCUGGCUGACAUCAGGCUAGUCUUUCUCUUCUCUCAGCAGGAGAUUUCUGGGGUGGCUCUAGCUCCUCAGUGGCCAUUUCUUUAGUAGUCUGAUGACCAAAAAGGAUGGGCACAAGUGUCUCUUUAUAGCACCUUGGUCUCAGCAAGCCCAGGUGUAAUGGUGCUCCCUGGAGCUGUGAUUUUCAUAUGACUUCUGUUGAACUUUCUGAAGCCCUAAAUAGCUCUGUUCACAUGCCUUUUCCUCCCUGAGGACCCGAGUCCUGCUUUCUCUUCCACUGUCCUCACAGUGUGGCUACCUCCUUCUGUCCCUUGGUUUCCAUCCCAUUGAAACCACGCUGGCCAUGACUCAUUCCUUCUGCUUUGUCUCCCUCCAUAUAUUUAAUGUCAGCUCUACAAGUGCCUUCCUUGCUUGACUUCUCUGUUUUCCCCAUCUGGAAUCAGGAAAGGAAAAUAACAAACACAGGAGAAAAAUAUUAGAGAGUUAAGAAAACAUAACUCCCUCCCCCAUGAAGCACCUGACUCUGGGGACAAGGAAGUUUUUGUUACUUUUCUUCCUUUGUGGAGGACACUCAACACUUUAUUUUUUUAAGGGAUGGGGCCUACCAUGUGCUGCUAUUACAGAGGACCUAAGUUUGGUUUCCAGCACCCACAUUGGAUAAACCCAACUGCCUGAAACUCUACUCACAGGUACAUGCCCACCUACCCAUAUACAUGCAUGCAAUUAAAAAAAAAUCAAAAUUGGGCUGGAAAAAUGGCUCAACAGUUCAGAGCAAUGGCUGCCUUCUCAAAGGACCUAGAUCCAAUUCUAAGCAUCUACAUGGCAGCCUACAACCAUCCGUAACUCCAGUUCCAGGGGAUCUGUCUCCCAUUUUUGCUUCUGUGGGCAUCAUGCAUGAUCCUGAUGUACACACACACACACACACACACACACACACACACACACACGCCAAACAAACAUAUACAUAAAGAUAUAAGAGAGCUUAAAAAAAAACAGCAUUCAAGAAUGAAAAUAAUGUGGUAGAGUCACCAAUAUUCUACUUCUUUAGGUUUUUACUCUUGGUGAUUCCAAAGAUGGCCUCCUACUAAUGGCCUGCCAUCCUGCUGUCAGCCUGACAAGGCAGCAAGAUCAAGACUGACAAGCACUCUCUGAGCUGGCGGCCAUCCUUUCCUUUCAAAGCAUCCUCCCUUCACCCAGGAGUGAUGGGACACCUUUGAGUUUUCCUCUCACAGGGGAAACUGCACAUGAGUGAUUGCUUGGCUUGGUAAAGGGCAGGAGGUGAGGGUGAAGUAUUCAGUGUGUGUUGAUGGACCUGGGUCGGAGUCUUGAGAGGAAUUCUGACAUGAGCCUGUCAGAAUUCAAAGGACUUUCAAAGAAUGAAAUAAAAGAUGAAACUAAUUUGUUUCCACGCCAGCACAGAGCAAAGAGCAGCAGCUGAAGGCAGCAGCAUCCAUUGCUCCAUUGCUCCAUGCCUCCUGAGCAUACACCAGGAAGUGUUGGCAGUUGAGCCCAGUUCAAAUGGGAACGCCUUGGCGUGGUGCUGGCCCCCUUCCUGCUCUUUCCUCUUCUCCCUUUCCCUAGCUUCUCUAGAAGAUUUGACAGAUGCAUUCCAGGAGGAUUCUUUCUCCACUACCCACAUAGAGGAGUCUGUGUGCUAAGGAGCCCGUGCCUGGGCUUCAUGAACUAUAUAUCCAGCCACUUGGGAUUCAGGGAAGGUUAAAUAAGUAAUAGCAUCUGAGGACACAGCCUGAGUCAACACCCUCCCGAAGCUGCUCCCAUUUGUUAAAAGAUGAUGGUCAUUAAAAGCUUUGAUCUUUUUCCAGUCAGUUAAACAAAACAAGAAUGUAGUCAAAAUUCUUUCUCCAGAACCCCUUUACCCCUUUUGUGGCCUGAGUUAACAAUCACUACCUGCUUUGCCUGCACAGAGUGUAUGGGUAUUAAUAGAUAACUUUUAGUCAGCCACCUUGUGACUACAUUGUCUCCAUAUGGAUAUGAGGGAGGGAUAGUCCGAAGCAGGGAUAGUCUGGGCAGUCUGUCUCCUCUUCACUCUUUCUGAUGUAUGUCCAAGUUCUC